GCUGCAACUCGCCUGCAUGAAGGCGGAAUUGCUAGUAAUCGCGAAUCAGAAUGUCGCGGUGAAUACGUUCCCGGGCCUUGUACACACCGCCCGUCACACCAUGAGAGUCGAUAACACCCGAAGCCUGUGAGCUAACCUUAGGGAGGCAGCAGUCGAAGGUGGGGUUGAUGAUUAGGGUGAAGUCGUAACAAGGUACC
rnacentral:rRNA from 1 species